AUGGCCUCCAGGAUGGCGCUCCGCCCCCACGGCGUCACGCCCCCGCUCGCCGCCGGCCGCGGAGGCCGCAGGAACGGCAGCGUCAGGGUCCUCGCCGUCGCCUCCUCCGCCUCCGCUAAGAUUGAGAGCAAGAAGACCUUUGCUCCUCCAAAGGAGGUUCAUGUCCAGGUUACACAUUCAAUGCCACCUCAGAAGAUGGAAAUAUUCCAGUCUCUUGAUGGUUGGGCUAGAGAUAAUCUGUUGCUGCAUCUUAAGCCAGUUGAGAAGUGUUGGCAGCCACAGGAUUUCCUCCCUGAUCCAGCAUCUGAUGGAUUUCACGAUGAAGUUAAGGAACUCAGAGAACGUGCCAAGGAAAUUCCUGAUGAUUAUCUUGUUUGUUUGGUUGGAGACAUGAUUACAGAGGAAGCCCUUCCUACAUACCAGACUAUGCUUAACACCCUCGAUGGUGUCCGAGAUGAAACAGGUGCAAGCCCCACUGCUUGGGCUGUUUGGACGAGGGCAUGGACUGCUGAGGAGAAUAGGCAUGGUGACCUCCUGAACAAGUAUCUGUACCUCACUGGGAGAGUGGACAUGAGGCAAAUUGAGAAGACAAUUCAGUAUCUUAUUGGCUCUGGAAUGGACCCUAGGACAGAGAACAACCCAUAUCUGGGCUUCAUCUACACCUCCUUCCAAGAGCGUGCAACCUUCAUCUCCCAUGGAAACACCGCUCGCCAUGCCAAGGACUUCGGUGACCUGAAGCUCGCACAGAUCUGCGGCAUCAUCGCCUCGGAUGAGAAGCGGCACGAGACUGCAUACACCAAGAUUGUGGAGAAGCUGUUUGAGAUUGAUCCUGAUGGCACCGUGCUUGCUCUGGCCGACAUGAUGAGGAAGAAGAUCGCAAUGCCAGCCCACCUGAUGUUUGAUGGGCAGGACGAGAAGCUGUUCGACCAUUUCUCCAUGGUGGCGCAGAGGCUCGGCGUUUACACCGCCAGGGACUACGCCGACAUCCUCGAGUUCCUCGUUGGCAGGUGGAAGGUCCCUGAACUGACCGGCCUUUCCGGCGAGGGGCACAAGGCCCAGGACUACCUCUGCACCCUCGCCGGAAGGAUCCGGAAGCUAGACGAGAGGGCCCAGUCGAGGGCCAAGCAAGCCGGUAAGAUGCCCUUCAGCUGGGUCUAUGGUAGGGAGGUGCAGAUGUGA
rnacentral:rRNA from 1 species